rnacentral:rRNA from 1 species
CCCUUAGAUGUUCUGGGCCGCACGCGCGCUACACUGAUGAAUUCAACGAGCACUAACCUGUGCAGAAAUGUUCGGGUAAUCUUGUGAAAUUUCAUCGUGAUGGGGAUUGAUUAUUGCAAUUAUUAAUCAUAAACGAGGAAUGCCUAGUAAGCGUGAGUCAUCAGCUCACGUUGAUUACGUCCCUGCCCUUUGUACACACCGCCCGUCGCUCCUACCGAUUGAAUGUGCUGGUGAAAAGUUCGGAUUGGGAAUAGGAGACGGCAACGUAUCCUGUUUCUGAGAAAAUCUUUAAACCCUCCCAUUUAGAGGAAGGAGAANUCGUAACA